rnacentral:rRNA from 1 species
GACGAACGCUGGCGGCGUGCCUAAUACAUGCAAGUAGAACGCAGUUGCGAAAGGGUGAGUAACGCGUCGGUAACUGCCUCAUAGCGGGGUAUAACUAUUUGAAAGGAUAGAUAAUAGCGCAUACUGUGAGAUGGAACUGCGUUGUUUUAGCUAGUUGGUGAGGUAAAGGCUCACCAAGGCGGCGCUACAUAGCCGACGUGAGACGGUGGUCGGCCACACUGUGACGGAGACACGCCCCAUAGUCCCUCAGGAGCCAGCAGUAGUGAUGCUGCGGGAAGGGGAGGAAGUCUGACCGAGCAACGCCGCGGGAGUGAGGAAGGUUUUCGGAUCGUAAAGCAAGGGUUUUAGAGAAGCGGUAACUAGCCAGGAAGGGACGGCUAACUACGUGCCAGCAGCCGCGGUAAUAC